GCAAACUUGGUCAUUUAGAGGAAGUAAAAGUCGUAACAAGGUUUCCGUAGGUGAACCUGCGGAAGGAUCAUUAAUGAAUUGUUCGAAACAUUUCUGUGCGGACAAAUCUUUAAAUCCGUAUCCACACCGGCCGGAAAUUCUUGAUGGGUUUUCGGCCGUAGGGGGGGGUGGUUUCUUUUUCAAAGGGCCUCUCGGCCCCUAGAGGAAAGAAAGCCGCCGUCCCUGUCUGACCUUUGCCUAAAAUUGAUCUUUUUUGACUGAAAAUUUUUGAUAAAAUCAAAUCAAAAACAACUUUCAACAACGGAUCUCUUGGCUCUCGCAUCGAUGAAGAACGCAGC
rnacentral:misc_RNA from 1 species